rnacentral:rRNA from 1 species
GUGGGGAAUUUUGGACAAUGGGCGCAAGCCUGAUCCAGCAAUGCCGCGUGCAGGAAGAAGGCCUUCGGGUUGUAAACUGCUUUUGUACGGAACGAAAAGGCUCUGGCUAAUACCUGGAGCUCAUGACGGUACCGUAAGAAUAAGCACCGGCUAACUACGUGCCAGCAGCCGCGGUAAUACGUAGGGUGCGAGCGUUAAUCGGAAUUACUGGGCGUAAAGCGUGCGCAGGCGGUGCUGUAAGACAGGCGUGAAAUCCCCGGGCUCAACCUGGGAAUUGCGCUUGUGACUGCAGCGCUGGAGUGCGGCAGAGGGGGAUGGAAUUCCGCGUGUAGCAGUGAAAUGCGUAGAUAUGCGGAGGAACACCGAUGGCGAAGGCAAUCCCCUGGGCCUGCACUGACGCUCAUGCACGAAAGCGUGGGGAGCAAACAGGAUUAGAAACCCCGGUAGUCC